AACUAACGCUAAAAAAGUUACAGUUUCUGUACUUUAUUGGUACAUUGACUUUCCGGCUCAUAAAAAUGAGCCACAAUUUAUGAACAAAAACAGUUCUUCCGAAAGGAAGAAC
rnacentral:misc_RNA from 1 species